ACAACAGUGGAUGACAGUAUAUCUCAUUCUAGCGGACUGAUUUGAUAGUGAACCUCUUUAGAGGCUCCCCCUGUUAAACCCUGACGUUGCUGCUGUUUGCCUAUGCCGUUGUGUGUGUUUCCAAUCGCGUCAGAUCUAAAGGCUUUACCUCGCAUUUUUUAAACCGGAUACUGAAGGCGUGCCACCUACUAUGAAAGAGAGUGAGAUCCCUUGUCAUAUUUAAAACGUCGACGACCUGUAAGUUGGGCUCGUCCAAGAUCAUCGAACGACAGCUGAAAGAGUUGCGGAGGAAAAAUAACUGUUCAUCAGACAACAAAAGGCGCAGCUUUUGUCGACAUGGAAGAGCAAGCUCAAGUUGGACCCAAGUGUUUCAGCAUUUAUAUCCAUCACAGACAUCAAAAUGGAGAAACCCACCAAUAUACAGUGGAUAAGGCUGUGGGGGAAACCAUGCCUGGAGGUGAAGUAUGCCUAAGAAAAGGAGAUACACUCCUGGAGCUGAAUGGGAGAAAUCUUUCGUCUUUGCCUCCAGAAGAAUUUUUCAAUUCACUGUCUUUACAUCAAGGCUCCCUCUCUUUGACAAUAGCUCACCAUCAUGACAGAGAUGGAUUACAGCAAGGAGCAGUGUCUGAUGUGUUUAAAGUUGAGGAUGGCUCUGGCAACACAUGUGAAGAAACCACACUGAUCGUCAUGCUGCAAGAUGCCAAGAUUAAUAUGUUGUGUUCAGACAAUGACGACUCAUGCACCUCUAGCAUUAUGGACACAAAAUUUACAAACUCAUUAUAUUGGGAAUGCGCAAAAAUUGAGUUUAUCCAAUCCGCUGAGUACCUUGCAUGGACAAAUGAGGGACCACGUCUUAAAGAGACAGGAGAUGGAAUGGCAAUGCUGCAAAUGAGGGGAUUUAACCAAGACAAAUCUACUCAACUUGCUGCCCUGCAAUUUAGCAAUAAACUCUUCCUAAAAUGUGAAGGGGAAGCAACAGAUGGAGUGAUUUUGAAAGCUGAGGCAAAUCCAACGCUGCUGGGCAUCCAAACGGGAAAGUCCACGGACAUCAAAGCAGUCGAGGCAAACAAACCCUAUUUGUUUCACGCUAUCCGUAAGAAUCCCGAUACAUGGCACUUUCAGUCGGCUUCACACAGUGGCUAUUACAUUUGUGCAGAUGGGGAAAAAAUAGUAAUAGCCAGACAUGAAAAUGACAACAAGUACUUCAAAAUAGUCUUCAAUAAGAAAUGCAAGGAAAUGCUCAUAACUCACAAAGACACCAUGUUGCACUUUGUGUGACAGUCAUACUACGCACUGCUAUGCGAUAGGUGUACCUUCUUUUACUGUUUGGCUGUGUUUGGUUUGCAUCAGUUUUUUACAUUUAUUUUGUAAAGUUUGUAUUUUAUAUCUUGUAUUAAUCUUGUCUUGUCUUAUUGCCUGCUCUCUUUGCAACAAAAAAAAAAGCUCAUGUAUUUUAUUUUCCAUCAUUUCCUGGUGUUAUCAUGAAUACACAAAUCCAGCUAAAAAUAUUUUUAGACGUGAGGAAACAGAAAGUCACGGAUUACUGCUUGAAAGUUCGUAAACACUCUGAGCAACUUUAAGUAGAAAACAUAAAUGGAGAAAUAGCUUCAUUUACAUUAUGUUUAUAAGAUUUUCUAGAGGUACCAGUAAUUGAUUACAUGUAAAUCAUGUGAUUUUGGUCAAAAAUAAUAACUACUUGACGAGGGACUUUUUUUAAAGGUAGUUUCUCUUUUUUUGUGUGAGAUUAAGCUAAUUCACCAAAGAUGACCCUUUAUCACCUUUACUCAUCUUCAUCAGGGGUGUAAAUAAUUGUGGAAGGAACAGUUGUUGUUGUGUGAGGUAACUGUAUUAUGUUGCUAUAGCUUAAAAAAUGUAUUUGGUAAGUUCAACAGUAUUUCUUUAGUAAGGACAAAUACAAAAAGAUCAAUGCAAACUGUUUCCUUGAUUUUCCAAGUAUUAAUAACACAAUUCAUUGUACACAAAGUUAUUUGUACUUUUCAAGACAACACUUGAUCAGUAUGAAUCAAAAAUCAGUAUGAUGAACCAAUAGUAGGGUCAGAAACCUCAGUUCCGUGACUGUCACAGCCUCUGCUGCACGCUCCUCUGUUCCUGUUUCUGCUCUUGCUCCAGUCCGUUCACCCUCUCCUGUGUUUAGUAUUUCCCUCACACCUUAGUUUUCCCUCCAUGUUUGGUUCUCACCUGUAGCCAAUGUGUUAAUUGAAUUUAGUUCUCACCUGUAGCCAAUGUGUUAAUUUAAUUUAGUUCUCACCUGUAGCCUUUGUAUUAAUUAAGUUUAGUUCUCACCUGUAACCAAUGUAUUCACUGAGCUCUUAUGUAAGCCUUGGACUUUUCCUUUGUCUUUGUGUGUAAUUGUUUGUGAUCAGCAAGAUGUACUGUUCUCCAGUCCUGUGAACUCUGCCUUGUUUGCCCAUUGUGGCACUUUGAUUUAUCUCAGUAAAACACGCCUUGAGCGUUUGCAUCCUAUUUCUUUGUUUCAAGUCUCCAGUUUGUGACAGUGACCAUCCUCUGGCUAAGAUGUUUUGACGACUGAUUUGACUUCUAUAAACCUUUUAUAAAAAAUGUAGCCCCCAUGUCCCUCGCAAAAAUGUCGGCAUGUUUUGCUAGAGGGCCGGAUCAAAAAUGGCAUCAGGGCCUAUUUUGUAAAAGUAACUUUUUUACCAGAGCACCUAGAAUAAUUUAUGAAUACACUUUUUGUGGUAAAUUGACCAUACGGAUUGUGAUUCUGACAUCAUUUUGACAUUAAGACAUCAUCUUGACCCGGAAAUCCAAGAUGGCCACCAUCUGUUAGAGCGAAAACGUAAUUUUUGAUACACAAAUAAACUUUUUAACCUGAUCA
ensembl:lncRNA